UAACGUAAUUCACGAUGCUUCACGUGGAGCGUUUAAACAAACAAAAAAAAAAAAGAACUGACUGUGACUUUGUUUCAUUAUUGCACAAAAGGAAAAAUACCUCAUGAUCAUUACGGGCCGUGGAAGCCUGUGGGAUAAACUCUAGUGGACGUUGACCUGCAGGUCAUGUGACCCAGUCACCUGCGAGUGGACUUUCAUUUUGUGUUGAUAUCAGUGACGUAUUCUGUCGUGAGACGUGUUGCUUUCAGUAAUCGAAGAACAAAAAUAUGUUUGAUGUUUAAAGUUAAAACGUAACGAUAGAAAAAUGAAAUGUUAUUUUUUGCCAGUUGAAAAAACACAAAAGUUCUAUUUUAAAUUUCUGCAUGGCCGUGUUUUUACCUGUCUGUAAAUGAUGACAAAACUGUGUGGCGUGAACCUGUCAUGUGUUGAUUUGUGGAAUUUUCGUUGAGUUGAUGCAAAAAUCAAUGCAUUUGUUCAGGUUGUGUAAAUUUAUUGUUUGCUGGAAAAAAAUUAUCUUAAUGGAAUAAAUAAUAAAAAAAAAAAGAAUAAAAAAAGUUUUCCCUGUUUUUAUAUUCAGCAAAAUGAAAGUGGAGAUUAUGAAUUAGCUGCAAAAGCAAUUAUGUUUAACAGCUACAGCAGCUGAAAACAACACUGAUCUAAUGCUAAUUUUAUUCCCUUUAUUUAACCACAGGCUUUGAAAUGUAAUCACAUGAGGACGAACGGACGGAGACAGACAGAACCAAUCAGUUUAACCCUGUGUUGUCCUUUGGGUCUAGGUGACCCGGUGACCCGGUGGCUGAUAAUACAGUUCUGGGACAAGACGCAAACCUGGUGUAUGUGGGUGUGUGGGUUUUUUUUCUUUUUCUUGCAGGAUCACAUGACAGGAAAACCGUGUGUGGAUUGGUCGAUUGGCGUCCAUUUAAACCGACUGGCGCCGGCCUUCUUCCCCUUUUUCCCCUUCCCCAUAAAAUGUGGAUGAGAAGCGAAAGCGGGGCUGAAAAAAGAAGAAGAAGAAGAAAAUGGUGAAGUGAUGAGAUGCAGGUGUGAAGAAGAGGAUGAUAAUGAAGAACAGGUGAGGAAGGAGCAGGAGGAGCAGGAGCAGGAUGCUGACAAGAGGUUUCGUGUAAAGUUAACACGGCUGACUCGACACUACAAACGACUCUCACGUGAGACUGGAGUGCAGAUCAAUCAUCCGUCCAAGGACACGUCUCUGCUGUGGACAAGUCUGUCCCUGAAUCAGCAGGUCUCGCACUUCACAUCCCUGUGUCUGCACACCCGGUUAGCACGACGGUGCUGUUUAUGAACUAGCGUCGGGAUGCUAAUGCUAUUAGUAUAAUAUAUGGCAAUCGCAUUUUUAUUCAACAUAAUUGUUUUCACACAAUACG